rnacentral:rRNA from 1 species
GAUCCUGGCUCAGGACGAACGCUGGCGGCGUGCCUAACACAUGCAAGUCGAACGAAGCACUGUGGAUAGAGACUUCGGUCAAUUGAAGCUUUGACUUAGUGGCGGACGGGUGAGUAACGCGUGAGGAACCUGCCUUUCAGUGGGGGACAACAGUUGGAAACGACUGCUAAUACCGCAUAAUGUGUUUUGGGGGCAUCCCCGGGAACACCAAAGAUUUAUUGCUGAAAGAUGGCCUCGCGUCUGAUUAG